AACGAACGCUGGCGGCAUGCCUAACACAUGCAAGUCGAACGAGACCUUCGGGUCUAGUGGCGCACGGGUGCGUAACGCGUGGGAACCUGCCCUUAGGUUCGGAAUAACUCCCCGAAAGGGGUGCUAAUACCGGAUAAUGUCUUCGGACCAAGGAUUUAUCGCCUUUGGUUGGGCCCGCGUGGGAUUAGCUAGUUGGUAGGGUAAAAGCUUACAAAGGCGACGAUCCAUAGCUGGUUGGGAAGGUGAUCAGCCACACUGGGACUGAGACACGGCCCAGAAUCCUACGGGAGGCAGCAGUGGGUAAUAUUGGACAAUGGGCGAAAGCCUGAUCCAGCAAUGCCGCGUGAGUGAUGAAGGCCUUAGGGUUGUAAAGCUCUUUUACCCGGGAUGAUAAUGACAGUACCGGGAGAAUAAGCUCCGGCUAACUCCGUG
rnacentral:rRNA from 1 species